UGCAGCACUCAAGAACAAAUUCCUGUGAUCUUCUUGCCCAGCUUCCUUCUUCUCUGUCCUUAGACUCUGGGCACCUAUAUAUCCUUUUCAUUUUAGCAUUUUUGUUUACUCAUUCAAUCAUAAUUACCAAUUACCACCAUACAUAUCUUGACAAAAGAAAUUAAUUAGUUUUUUUUUAUAUCCUUAACCAUGGCUGCUCAUGAGCAGGAUUUAUGCACAUCCAUUAAUAUCAAACCAGCCCAUUUGGUUGAACUCAUCUUCUAACAGAGAUUCAAGUGCCAUGGCAGAAAGAGAUGGGACCAGAGUUUUGGUUCCAAGUGCAGAAGGUUGA